AUUGAACGCUGGCGGCAGGCCUAACACAUGCAAGUCGAGCGGCAGCGGGACCUUCGGGUUGCCGGCGAGCGGCGGACGGGUGAGUAAUGCCUAGGAAUCUGCCUGGUAGUGGGGGAUAACGCGGGGAAACUCGCGCUAAUACCGCAUACGUCCUACGGGAGAAAGCGGGGGCUCUUCGGACCUCGCGCUAACAGAUGAGCCUAGGUCGGAUUAGCUAGUUGGUGGGGUAAUGGCCCACCAAGGCGAGGAUCCGUAACUGGUCUGAGAGGAUGAUCGGUCAAGCUGGAACGGGGACACGGUCCAGACUCGUACGGGAGGCAGCAGUGGGGAAUAUUGGACAAUGGGCGAAAGCCUGAUCCAGCCAUGCCGCGUGUGUGAAGAAGGUCUUCGGAUUGUAAAGCACUUUAAGUCGGGAGGAAGGGCUGUAGGCUAAUACCUUGCAGUUUUGACGUUACCGACAGAACAAGCACCGGCUAACUUCGUGCCAGCCGCCGCCGUAA
rnacentral:rRNA from 1 species